GACGAACGCUGGCGGCGUGCUUAACACAUGCAAGUCGAACGGAAAGGCCCUGCUUUUGUGGGGUGCUCGAGUGGCGAACGGGUGAGUAACACGUGAGUAACCUGCCCUUGACUUUGGGAUAACUUCAGGAAACUGGGGCUAAUACCGGAUAGGAGCUCCUGCUGCAUGGUGGGGGUUGGAAAGUUUCGGCGGUUGGGGAUGGACUCGCGGCUUAUCAGCUUGUUGGUGGGGUAGUGGCUUACCAAGGCUUUGACGGGUAGCCGGCCUGAGAGGGUGACCGGGCAAAUUGGGACUGAGAUACCGCCCAGACCCCUACGGGGAGCAAGAGGGGGGAAAAAUGCAAAAUGGGCGGAAGCCCUGUGCAGGCAACCCGCGGGGGGGAUGGAGGCCUUCGGGUUGUAAACCGCUUUCGCCUGUGACGAAGCGUGAGUGACGGUAAUGGGUAAAGAAGCACCGGCUAACUACGUG
rnacentral:rRNA from 1 species